UUUCGCUUGCAACUAAGGGCGUCUUUGGCACGUGUCUCAGCAGGCACGAUAAGACUUGCACUGGAGAAGUGUACUGAUUAUCAGCGUCCCUCAAUUCAAUGCGUUGUGUAAUUCGUGAGUGUGAUCCGGCGUGUCUUUUGUGAGUUCUAAGUGUGUUGUGUGUGCGGUUCUCGAAACAAAUGUGGUGCUGUAGAGUCAAUGGUGGCAAGAGACCGCCAAUGGUUUAGUCGGCCAUGUUGUGGAGUGACCCACGUGGAGCAGGUGGACGUCAUGACGAAAACAAAAAGAGAAGCUGACACAAGCAAGAAAAACUCCAGCACGGAAAAAUAACUCGAGGAAGCAUUGGUGGCCUGUAAUCUAUAUCCUUCAGCAGCCACCACCGGACGACUUUCGUUGCACGGCAGCCCCCGGUUCAUCGCUUCGCUCUUCCCUUUGAUAAGUCAGCUGUGAAUUUGGAACACCCUUCUGCUAAGCCCCCUGGGUUCUUGAACGUGCUUCAGAAACCUCCAACGACGCACGGUGCUGGAAGCAAUCCUUACGUUUCCCCAGAACGCUACAAUCCUCGAUCAGGAUGA